rnacentral:rRNA from 1 species
AGCUCCAAUAGCGUAUAUUAAAGUUGCUGCAGUUAAAAAGCCCGUAGUCGAACUUCAGACCUGGCCGGGCGGUCUGCCUCACGGUACGUACUGUCCGGCUGGGCCUUACCUCUUGGUGAGCCGGCAUGCCCUUCACUGGGUGUGUCGGGGAACCAGGACUUUUACCUUGAGAAAAUUAGAGUGUUCAAAGCAGGCCUAUGCCCGAAUACAUUAGCAUGGAAUAAUAGAAUAGGACGUGCGGUUCUAUUUUGUUGGUUUCUAGAGUCGCCGUAAUGAUUAAUAGGGACAGUCGGGGGCAUUGGUAUUCAGGCGCUAGAGGUGAAAUUCUUGGAUUGCCUGAAGACUAACUACUGCGAAAGCAUUUGCCAAGGAUGUUUUCA